rnacentral:lncRNA from 1 species
UGCUGGAACCUGGAGCCACAAGUCUUCAUGCUAAAGAACUCCUGUCUUGGUGGAGAGAACCUGGACCACGACGCAGGGCCUGAUGCCAGCUUCACUCUGGAUCUGCAGAGUCCUUCCUGCAGUGACCACCAUGACUCGUUCUUCAGAUGAGACUCACCCAGGUGCAGUGUGCAACAAGAGAUCUUUUCAGUCUUUCUCUUUUGCCAUCCUCCCUAGCACAUUGAAACUAUAAACUGUGUUCUCACACAAUCCAGAGGCACUGUAAAAUACCUUGCAGAUAUAUAGUACUUUAGUUUCCAACACAUGCCCAUUGUGCUCAAAGAGGCAGAGCCAGUGGGAGAUACACAUGACAAGAUUUAUUGCAGGGAAUUGGUUUAUGUAAUUGUGGGGCCUGGCCAGGCAAGUUCAAAAUCUGUAGGGUGGGCUCUCACGAAAACCAUGCUAGGACUGUCCAGUACAGCCAAGCACAUGAGUGGAAUUUCUUCUUCCCCAGGGAAGCAUCAGCUUUGCUCUUAAAAUACUUCAACUGAUUGGAUCAGGCCCACUCAGAUUAUCUGGGAUGAUCUCCUUUACUUAAACCUAACUAAUAUGGACUUUCUUCAUAUCCACAAAAUCCAUGCAUACCACCUAGAUUCGUGUUUGACUGAAUAACUGGGAACUGUAACCCACCCAAAUUAACAAGCAAAACUGAUCAUCACGCCUAUGUAGUAGAGAAGGAAGAUAUUGCCAUUUACUUUUUUCUACUGGGGAACUAGAAGCAGAGAGAACUAAAAUUAUUUGCCUAAGGACACACAGCUAACUCACUUUUUGUUUUUCAGUUGGAGAAUGGAUUAGCAAUUCCUACUUGGUGUGAUGUUGUGAGGAGUUAAUUAAAUCCAUUCCAGUUGUGUAUGUACAGACCCUCAAUUUUGUAUAAAAAACAUCAGCCAGGUGCAGUGGCUCAUGCCUGUAAUCCCAGCA